AUACGGAGGGUGCAAGCGUUAAUCGGAUUUACUGGGCGUAAAGCGUGCGUAGGCGGCUUGUUAAGUCAGAUGUGAAAGCCCCGGGCUCAACCUGGGAACUGCGUUUGAUACUGACAGGCUAGAGUAUGGUAGAGGGAAGUGGAAUUCCGCAUGUAGCGGUGAAAUGCGUAGAUAUGCGGAGGAACACCAGUGGCGAAGGCGACUUCCUGGACCAAUACUGACGCUGAGGUACGAAAGCGUGGGGAGCAAACAGGAGUAGAUACCCCAGUAGUCC
rnacentral:rRNA from 1 species